rfam:Camelus ferus unplaced genomic scaffold scaffold429, whole genome shotgun sequence.
GAGGGUCUAGCUCAGUGGUAGUGUGUGUGCUUGUCAUGCACGAGAUCCUAGGUUCAAUCCCCAGUACCUCCG